CCCUUAGAUGUUCUGGGCCGCACGCGUGCUACACUGAGUGGAUCAGCGGGUCAGGUUGCGCGAAAGUGUUUCCUAAUCUUUAAAUCCGCUCGUGAUGGGGAUUGACGGUUGCAAUUUUCCGUCAUGAACGAGGAAUACCUUGUAAGCGCGGGUCAUCAUCCCGCGCUGAAUACGUCCCUGCCCUUUGUACACACCGCCCGUCGCUCCUACCGAUUGAGUGGUCCGGUGAGGCUUUGGGAUCUGAGCGGAAGGAGCGUUUCGCUGUUUCUGCCCGGAAAACUCAGUCGAACCUUAUCAUUUAGAGGAAGGAGAAGCCGUAACA
rnacentral:rRNA from 1 species